GAGACAGAGUGACUAACGGAUUCCCACCACCGCUACUACCAACAUACAGGCGGGUGUAACAGCGUGUUCAGACACACUUCAUCAGGGAUGUAUGCUUUACUGGAAACUCGGCAUUCCAGGAGGACCAUAACUGUGAUUCAUAGAGCAACAAAAACCCUACGAAAACAGUUCAGGUUCACUCUCUGCAACUGAUGAAAUAUGGCAAGAUGAUGAGAGUAGAGCCGGCUCCCAACAACCGUCAGUAGCAUCGCACUUACACGCGCGGCCGUCGUAGAUUGGGUGCGCUCAGCCCCUCUCCUGCUAUCCACCUACUUUAAUCAGAUCAGCAUGUAGCUAAAUAAAGCAGGGUGUCAGGAUGUUGAGCAGCAUAAGACUAUUGACUAUCGUUUCUCAACGUGUGUGCUCAGCUAUGACUAAAUUACUGUCUGCAUUGUUAUCCUUGGUGUGGCACCGUGCUGUGCAGUAAAGUGAAAAAAAAAGAAGAAGAAAAAAACUCAGGCUGAAGCUGCAAAUAGCGCUUCCACAACAGUGGCUGUCGUGUCUCUCUUUGCCGCUGCCACCAGCUGCCAUGUUUACUUAAAAAGCUUCCACUGAAUCCUCCGACCGCGGAAGUCUGCAUCGUCUCAAAAAAAUUAUCCUCGUCGAAUGUUAUCUGCUCCCUGGCAACAAACUCGUGCGGCGCUCUCCUUCUGCAGCCUCGGGAAUCCUUACAGUUACCUAACAGGUGGAGGGAGGCGGCAGGGAUUCCUUUAACCGUGCCGCUGAAACGCAGUCACGCUGGGAGCCAGUAGAAUUGGCACCAAAAAUACAAGACGUGGCACAGGAAACGACAUGGG